UACCACUUACAGAUGAAUCCGCGUCCCAUUAGCCAGUUGGUGGGGUAAAGGCCUACCAAAGCGACGAUGGGUAGCCGGCCUGAGAGGGUGACCGGCCACACUGGAACUGAGAUACGGCCCAGACUCCUACGGGAGGCAGCAGUGGGGAAUCUUCCGCAAUGGGGGAAACCCUGACGCAGCAACGCCGCGUGAAGGAUGAAGGUUUUCGGAUCGUAAACUUCUUUGAUGGGGGACGAAACAAAUGACGGUACAAUAAGAGGAAGCCACGGCUAACUACGUGCCAGCAGCCGCGGUAAUACGUAGGUGGCGAGCGUUGUCCGGAAUUACUGGGUGUAAAGGGCGUGUAGGCGGGAAUGCAAGUCAGAUGUGAAAUGCCGAGGCUUAACCUCGGAGCUGCAUCUGAAACUGUGUUUCUUGAGUGUCGGAGAGGAAAGUGGAAUUCCCAGUGUAGCGGUGAAAUGCGUAGAUAUUGGGAGGAACACCAGUGGCGAAGGCGACUUUCUGGACGAUAACUGACGCUGAGGCGCGAAAGCGUGGGGAGCAAACAGGAUUAGAUACCCUGGUAGUCCACGCCGUAAACGAUGGAUACUAGGUGUAGGGGGUAUCGACCCCUUCUGUGCCGGAGUUAACACAAUAAGCACUCCGCCUGGGGAGUACGGCCGCAAGGUUGAAACUCAAAGGAAUUGACGGGGGCCCGCACAAGCAGUGGAGUAUGUGGUUUAAUUCGAAGCAACGCGAAGAACCUUACCAGGGCUUGACAUCCCUCGAAUCAUGCGGAAACGUAUGAGUCCUUCGGGACGAGGAGACAGGUGGUGCAUGGUUGUCGUCAGCUCGUGUCGUGAGAUGUUGGGUUAAGUCCCGCAACGAGCGCAACCCUUGUUGCUAGUUACCAGCACGUAAUGGUGGAACUCUAGCGAGACUGCCGGUGACAAACCGGAGGAAGGUGGGGAUGACGUCAAAUCAUCACGCCCCUUACGACCAGGGCCACACACGUACUACAAUGCCCGGUACAGCGAGUUGCAAAGCCGCGAGGCAGAGCUAAUCUCUUAAAACCGGGCCAGUUCAGAUCGGAGGCUGCAAUUCGCCUCCGUGAAGCUGGAAUCGCUAGUAAACGCAGAUCAUCAUGCUGCGUUGAAUACGUUCUCGGGCCUUGUACACACCGCCCGUCACACCACGAAAGUC
rnacentral:rRNA from 1 species